UGGAUUCAUUUGAAAAAUGCCAGCUAGCACACACUUUCCAAAGAAUCUCUCUCCUCUAACGGUCAUAAGGGAGAGAGGACAGCUAGCAUGGGCGUGGAAAAUAGCUGGCAAUGUAAAAGAAUCACUCUCCAACGAAUAGAGAAAAAAAAAUAAUAAAUCACUCUGACUCCACUCACGUUUUACCUCCCCUCUCUCUCAUAACAACUCCCUUUCCCUUCAUUCAGCUACUCACCACCUGACACUCUACUAAAAGCCUCUCUCUUUUCUCUCUCAGUAAAAGGAAAAGAAAAUAAUAAAGACAAAAAAAUUCCACAGUACCACAAACCCAUCUUCAAACCCUCAACCCUUUUCUCCUUCGUCCACACAUUCCCUUCCUCCGACGCCGCUCUCCAUCCGCCUCCCACCACACGCCUCGCUCAACAGCUUUCACAAACCACCACCCACUACGACAACGACACCUCCGUUUUCACGCCGAAAAACUCUUCGUCUUCAUCGCCUCCGCCUCAACGAACACCAUCACCGGCGAACUGACCUACCAACCGCCGCACCACACCUCUCAACAUUCCUCACUGUCAAAACUCACCACACGCCACGGAUCCGCAACUAAAAACCACAGAUCCAAACCCACCUUCACAAACCACUAUUUCGCUCUUCCACCACUAAACCGUUUAAAUAAACAAUCAACACCGUCACAUCAGCCAAGUGACACACACCACCUUAUAGCAACAUCUCGCAUCCACUUUCGUCCGUAAAUAUUUCGUUCAACAACAUCCUAACAACUCAGAGUUUAAUUAUUCUGAUUCAGUAGCAACUCGCACUUCCGGUAACACUUCGGUUCAACUUUGCAUAUUAUAUUCUUCUUGUACAUAUUGUUGUUACGUUUUCAUAAUGGUAUUUAGAGUGGAAGAAUUAUUGACAUUCAUGUUGUUUUUAAAUGUUUGAAUUUGUUUAGCAGUAGUGGCAAUUCGGUGAAGUUAAUGAAUAGCGACAAUUUUGAAAUUUGGUGAUGAUGAACAACAAUAUUUUCAUACUGAGUGUUUAUGCUUUUCAGGAUGAAUAUUUGUUUUCUUUUAUGACAUGAUUUCUUAGAACUUUCAUUUGUAUUUUGUAAAUAACUUUGGUACUUUAAUAGAAACCUAUGUUAAUAGUCAGAUAGGAUAGCAUUUGUAAUAUUCAUUCAUUUUCAAACAUAUGAUAUUUGCAAUAUUGGUAGUUUGGAAUUAGUUAAAUUUCCUUUGCAUUAAUAGGUUUCAAUACUGUAACUUUAUAAUUUUAACUUAUAUCUUGUUACUUUAUUUGACUUAUUAAAAAAGAGGCAAAUGAUUUUGUUGUUUUGGGCUUAAUUUUGACCUUUGAUUCAAGCCUACCCACCUCUUGCUAAUAACAUUCAUGUUAAAUUAACUAACUAAUUAAAUUUUGUUUACUUAGCUAAUUUUGAUUAAUUAAUUUCAAUUAACUUGAUUAUUUGAUUUAAUUAAAUAAUUUUGAUAAUUAAUCUUAAUUAACUUAAUUAGUCAAUUUAAUCAAACUUUAAUCAAUUAAUUUUGAUAAUUCAAUAUUGAUCGACUUAUUCCAUUCUCACAAAUUCAUAAUCAUUUUUGAAGUUAUCAAUUCGAUUUCAUAAUCAUCCAAUCUUCAUAUCAUUUCCAAGCUAGACCGAUUCAAUUUCAUUGUAAAAUCAAAUAUAAUUUCUAAAAGACUUUAUUUUUAUAAUUUAAACUGGGGAUGAAAAAGAAUAUAGGAAGCGUUCUCUUCACUAUUUCUCAAGUACUCGAACGAUUGGCGUACGCCAUAUUGCUCGAAUUUUUGUCCCCGAUUAAAACCUUAACCAAAUACAAUUUCCAAAUCACUUUUCCAAAUCAAAUAUAAGUUCUAAAUUCAAAUUAUUUUAAGACCAUGAUUAUACACAUUCAAACCACGUCUUCUAAAUCAACUACCAAUUCUAAACCCUUUUAAGUCUAAAUAUUCGAUAAUAAAAGGAUAGGAGGCGUUCGCCUCACUAUCUUCCGAUUAUUCGAAUAAUUGGCGUACGCCACAUUGCUCGAAUUUUCGUCAUCAAAUUAAAACCACAAUCGAAUAAACCCAAAUCACCGACUUAUCAAAAUCCAAAAUUCAAACUAUUUUCACAAAUCAAAUACAACCUCUAAAAAUAUAUCUUUUAUAAAUUAAACUUCGGAUGACAAAAGAUGGGAGGCGUUCGCCUCACCAUCUCUCGAUUAUUUGAAUAAUUGGCGCUCUCCAUAUUGCACAAAUCAUCGACUUCCGAAUAAUACAUUUUAACUAAAUUUGGAUAAAGGAAUAAGUGGCGCUCGCCUUAUUAUUCUUUCAAUAAGCAAGUAGGAGGCGUACGCCUCACUACCGUGCAUAUUCAACAUCCACAAACAAACUUUCAAAAUAAUUCGAACAAAAAAAGGAGUAGAAGGCGGUCGCCUUAUUAUUCCUCGAAAGAAUUGGACAAUUGGUGCCCACCACAUUGCUCAAUCUUAUGUCGUUCUCUAAAACAUUUCAAACAAAUCAAACCUAGCUUCUCGCCCCUAUGCGAUCGAAACCAAAAACAUCAAACACAUCAAUUCAACUUGUCACCCCGCGUGACGAAAACUCUUUUCAAAAAGAACACUAUUUAAUCCUUUCUAAUGUGCACAACAAACCAAUGCUUAAGCCUCCGCCGAGAGUAGACAAGCCAAUGUUUAGCCUUUAGAACGCGAUCUAAAUAGUUGUUCGGUAAAAGACACCAACCAACCGUAGUUCCCCGAACUACGAAUGCUCUGAUUUCCUUAUUUCACCAUAAGGAUACUGUAGCGGUGUAUUCGUCACCAUUGGAAAUAUUGACUAGAUCCAAGGUAAAUCAUACAAAGAUAGAGUCGCCACCGCACUUCUCUUUAUCCAAAGGAAUGGCUAGAAAGCGAACAAAGGCCUAUAAAGUUUUAUAAACAAAACUAGUAAAAGGGGGUCAGAGAUCUGGGUAAGGGGGUUGGUUAUGUCAUGGGAAGGUGUUAGGCACCCGCAACAUCCUAGGUACUCCUAGGGAGCCCUUUUCACAACUUGUUGUAUCAGGUUAUUGUUUAUGAAAGUUUUUUUUGCAAACAUUGAUUGAAGAGAUGAGAAAAGAAUGUACAAGUUAGUUAUUUUUGUGUUUGGACGGAUGAACCCAUUGCCUACAUACCUUUCAUAAAAGAUAAGGAUCAAAACCUCGUAGUUCGGCUAAAAGAUUUCCAAAAAGUGAGUGGAUUGAUUUUAAACAAAAGCCUUAAGGUCUUUCAUUAUCAAAGGGAGAAAACUCGACCUGAACAACCACAAGUCCACCAUGUGAGAACAGCUUCGACAUGCUAGUGAGGGAUUAUGGCCUAUAAUAAGCAUGGAAGUCUUACAAUUCGAUCACUAAGGACAAAAGGUGAGAUUCACAUCAACCACUAAGAUAAUUCAGAUCUAUGGCUAAUGCAUGAAAACUUGAUUAAGAAGUGGACAAAGGCCACAAAAGCAAUUGAGUGGGUUGAAUUAACCAAUUAGAAGUAUUCACAAAGAUAGUCAAAGUAGGAAUUAGAGUCCAUUUACAAUGAGUAUUAGGAAAGUGAAGUUUGAAAAUCAAAGGCAUGAGGCCUAGGUUUCUAGUUUUGAAAAUAAAUCAAAAUGUUUGCACAAAAGUUUUCUGGUUUGGGGUUAAAGAUGGAAAACAAGGAUCAAGGUUAAGCACAAAAGGGUGGGUUAAGGGACAAAGCCACAAAUAGGAGUCGCUUUCUCAAGAUCAUAGAAAUGAUCCAAGGAAGUUCCUUUGGAAUUAGGCAACACAAAGCAAUAAGCAAAUAAGCAAGCUCAAAGGAGCAACAAAACUGGAAAUGGUAUCGGGCUCAGAAAGCUAUUAAAGGUAGUAUCUUGGCUGACCACUUGGCACACCAGCCGAUUGAGGAUUAUCAGUCAGUUCAGUAUGAUUUCCCAAAUGAGGAGAUUCUGUAUUUGAAAAUGAAAGAUUAUGAUGAGCCUACACUCGAUGAAGGGCCAGAGCCUGGUUCCAGAUGGAGUAUGGUGUUUGAUGGCGCUGUAAAUCAGUAUGGAAAUGGUAUUGGUUCGAUGAAGGGCCAGAGCCUGGUUCCAGAUGGAGUAUGGUGUUUGAUGGCGCUGUAAAUCAGUAUGGAAAUGGUAUUGGGGCAGUAAUCAUUACUCCUCAGGGCACACAUAUUCCUUUUACAGCAAGACUAACUUUCAAAUGCACGAAUAAUAUGGCUGAGUAUGAGGCCUGCAUUAUGGGAUUGGAGGAAUGCAUUGAUCUAAGGAUCAAGCAUCUUGAUGUUUAUGGUGAUUCGACCCUCGUUGUUAAUCAGAUUAAGGGUGAAUGGGAGACGAAUCAGCCUGGUCUCAUCCCAUAUAGGGAUUAUGCGAGGAGGAUUUCAACGUUCUUUACUGAGGUUGACUUCCAUCAUAUUCCUCGAGAUGAGAAUCGGAUGGCAAAUCUCUUGCUACGCUAGCUUCAAUGAUUGUGGUUAAAUAUUGGAAUGAAGUUCCCAAUAUCACUAUGAUGCGCCUGGACAGACCAGCUCAUGUAUUUGCGGUUGAAGAAGUAAAAGAUGAUAAGCCAUGGUAUUAUGACAUUAAAAUGUUUCUUCAGAACCAGUUUACCCGCUUGGGACAUCACGAAAGAUAGGAAGACUUUGAGGAGAUUGUCAGGCAGUUUCUACCUCAAUGGCGAAGUGCUUUACAAGAGAAAUUUUGACAUGGUUAUGCUCAGAUGCAUGGAUAGACACGAGGUAGACCCUGUUGAUGACUGAGUCAUGAGGAUUCAUUUGUACUCAUUCCAAUGGACAUGCCAUGGCUAAAAGAUGUUGAGAGCAGGCUCAUAUUGGCUGACAAUGGAGUCUGACUGUUGCAAGUACGUGAAAAUGCCAAAGUGUCAUGUUUAUGCGGAUAAGAUUCAUAUUCCCCGACACUUCUGUAUGUGAUUCAUCACCAUGGCCUUUCUCCAUGUGGGAAUUGACAUGGAUUGGCAUGAUAGAGCCAAAAGCGUCCAAUGGACACAGACUUAUUCUUGUAGCAAUUGAUUACUUCACCAAGUGGGUUGAAGCGGCGUCAUACGCCAAUGUGACCAGGCAGGUGGUCGUAAAGUUUAUCAAGAAUCAACUCAUAUGCCGCUAUGGAGUGCCAGACAAGAUCAUUACUGAAUGGAUCUAACUUGAACAAUAAGAUGAUGAGAAGAACUGUGUAGUGAGUUCAAGAUAGCGCAUCACAAUUCUUCUCCUUACAGACCAAAGAUGAAUGGGCUGUUGAAGCUGCUAACAAGAACAUCAGAAGUUAUCCAGAAGAUGGUUGUUACGUACAAGAGUUGGCACGAGAUGCUGCCAUUGCUUUACAUGGAUAUUCAGUACAUUUGUCCGCACUUCAACAGGGGCAACCCCUUUCUCUCUUGUUUAUGGCAUGGAGGCCGUACUCCCAGUAGAGGUGGAGAUCCCAUCAAUGAGAGUCUUGAUGGAGGCCAAGUUGACUGAUGCUGAGUGGGUUCAGAGUCGUUAUGACCAGUUGAAUCUGAUAGAAGAGAAGAGAUUGACUGCCAUGUGCCAUGGUCAGUUGUAUCAGCAGAGAAUGAAGAAAGCUUUUGAUAAGAAGGUCAAGCCUCGCAUGUUCCGAGAAGGUGACCUCGUGCUCAAGAAAGUCUUGUCUUCCGCGCCCGAUUCCAGGGGCAAGUGGACUCCAAACUAUGAAGGUCCAUAUGUUGUUAAGAGAGCCUUUUCAGGUGGUGCUUUGAUAUUUACAACUAUGGAUGGGGAGGAUUUCACUCGUCCCGUAAACUCGGAUGCAGUCAAGAAAUACUUCGCCUAAAAAUAAAAACAAAAUAGCUCGCUAUGUUGAAAACCCGAAAGGGUGGCUUAGGCAAAAAUGAGCGUCUCGGUGGAUUGAAAACUCGAAAGGGCGGUCCAGGCAAAAGUUAGAGACAUGAAAAAUGAUGAAGAUUUAUAUCCCGCUAGGUUGAGUACCUCAUCCUAGGGCAAUCUAGGCAAAAAUUAGGGAUUUUGGCAAGUAACUGCACCCUGACAAGACUUUGUUCUACAAUUAUCAUCCGUCAGAGAUUCUCGUUCAUUCGUCAUCAACCGAAGCUUCGAAUACAUUGAAUACUUUGUUCUACAAUUAUCAUCCGUCAGAGAUUCUCGUUCAUUCGUCAUCAACCGAAGCUUCGAAUACAUUGAAUUCAGAAUUGGUGGAGAAAUGGUCAUUAUGUUCAAUGUAGCCCUUUUCCAAUACAUAUCACCAAUUUCAAAACUGUAAAAAUCUAUGGAGUCUUGCCAUUUGCAGACUGCCAUUCCAUCAAAUAAAUUUGAGCCUUUUAUCCAAUUAUUUGCACUCGUAUUUGUUUCUAUUCAACAAAUGUUUUGCAUGUUUUAGUUGAGAAAAUAUCAUUGUUUCAAACAAACAAAUUUUUUCAUAAAUUGUUUUAAAACAAAGUGAACAUUCACAAAGACGAAAGGACACUUAAGAGAUCCUCAGUGCUCUCCCAAGGGUGGCAUGAUCUCCAACAGGGUAAGACAUAUGUUCAUAUUCCUGGCAUGACUAUAUUUUCUACCUCCGGAACCCUGAGUGGUAUGAUUUUGAGAGGUUCACCAGUCGUCCCUUCAGCAAAUCAGUUGAUUCUUUCCUCAUCAGCAGGUGUGUCCUCUCUGGAAGAUUCAAUUUUGGAGGUUGGCCCCCGUAAUCCCUUUAUCCAUCAGAUGGACUCCCCAGUAGAGCUGCUCAUAUGGUGGAAAUGGUCUCAUUGUAACUCCUAUCCCCUAUCGGGAUGAUUAUUGAUUCCUCCCCUGCAGAGAUUUUGUUGUUUCCUGGUAUCUCUGAUCUCUGGCAGAUCAUUUGCUCUCUGAUGAUUUUGGUUUUCCCUCUUGAGGGGUAGUACCGGGUGGUAGAUUCCUGGAUCAUGUGUGUGUUAGAUAUAUCUGUUUGUUAGCAUUCAUCAUACAUAAACCACGCAUAUGCAUGCAUAAAUCAUAACAUUCAGAUAUUCAUGUUGCAUUUUUUGCCAUAUAUCGUUUGUUUAUUGUCUCCUGCUAUUUGGUGAUAUAGAUCUCCCCAAGCGGAUGUGUGUGUCUGAUCUCUCCAUAUAGAGUCAGCUCCAUAGGCAGAAAGCGUCUACCCUUUCUUCCAUACUCCCCACCGAGCUAUGUCCUCAUGGAUGAUGGUUGUUCCUGUUUCCCCCCAACACAUAUAUUGGGAUGGGUUUCCCUAUUGAGUUAUAUCCUCAUUAGGACAAGUCUUGAUUCAGUUUGCCUUUUUGGUUUGAUCCUAAAUUGGCCCCUCGAAGCCGUUUCUUUUGUUUCCCCACAGUAUAAAUGAAUAAUUGCUCAGUAAUUAGUAAUCAUUCAACUUAUCCUCGGCGGAGUUUGUGGUUUUCUACCCUGAUACCGGUAGUUGAAAACCCUAUUCCCUCCCCUUUACAAAGUUAACCUUUGGUUCAUCAUGAUCGAUGACAGUUACUUUUCCGUGGUUUCCUACCCAGUAGCUGGUAGGUGUAAUCCCCUCCUUGGUGGUUAUCUUCAUCCAAUAUUCGAUGUUGAUAUUCCCUCUUUUGCAUGGAUGAUUGCCCUGUUUACGCAAUUUAUCCCCGGCGAGUCAUCUUUCAUCUACCCUGUUGUUGUUGGUAAUGAUUGUUUCUCUUCUGGAUUGGUCAUCAUUUUAUACCUAGUAGUCGGUAUCCCGAUGUCCUUUCUUUUCGGUCGAUUUAUCCUUUAUUAACCCAACAAUCGGUUGUGGAUAAUCUUCCAUGCGAGUAUGUUAUCUACGUUCUGACGGUAAUAGAUAGUAUAUCUCAUGCACUCUUCGGUCGAAGCCUUUUGUUCUUCCCCAGUUGAGUAAGAUUCGUAUUCCCUUUGUGGAGUCGAGUGUCCAUCCUAUAAUCGAGUUUGCUUAUGCCUCUGGUGGAUGAUGAGUGUCUUGAAUAUUCCCAAUUCACGCCUUGGUUGGUCACCUCAUUAUAUGCCCAGUAACCGGUUAUACUUGGUGUCCUCCCUUCUGCUCCCUAUUAUGACUUUUGCUCCCUGUGGAGUCAGAUUUCCCUGAGUUGAAAUAUACCUUUUAGGUUUCCUCAGAGUAAUUCGGCCAGUUUUGAUAUCUCUCACCCUUAUACCGGUCUUAGAUGUUCAUUUCUUCCCGAGCAUGUUGUAUCUCUGACCCUUAUGUCGGUAUUCAGAUCACCUGUCUCAUCGAGCUUGUUACUCAGUAACCGGUAACACCUCAUCUCGCUGCUCCCCCAGGAGAGUCUUUUUAGACAUUCCUAGUGAGAUCCCUUAGUGGAUUUUUUUCGUUCGGAUUUCUAUCCGAAGUAUCCGUUAUGGAUAGUUUCGUGGUAUUGGCAUAUUCCCCAAUACGGGCGUCUUCGAGUCAGCUCGAGUCUUUCCAUUGGUUUAUUCCCUUUGGAAUUCUGUUCCCCAAGUUUUGAGUCGUGCCCUGCUCACGCAUUUCUUUCUUAUCCCCACAAGAGUCCCCAAGAUUUUGUCCCAUUGAAUGUGGAUUGUUGGUGUCUCCUGAUUUUCUUUACUCCUUUGUGGACACAUAUCCCCACAGAGUGUUACCAUUUUGCAUACAUACAUCUUGCUCAUGAGUCCUUAGGCCCGACAAAAUUCGUCUCUUUGUUAUUAUUAAGCCCUUUUACUCGUCGAGACGAGAUUUAACCUCCGUCUCCGGCUAGAAUUUACCUUAGAAUAGCGCUCUAUAAACCCAAUUUUGUCGCCGAGAUCCCUCAUAGCAUCAUAACAUUGCAUUGCAUAGCCUCAAGGAUCAUUGAGCAUCUUAGUCCCCUUUACCUUUGGGUGGGGCUCCUUGUGAGUGGUUUGAGAUCACCAGGCAUGCUUGAAUGGUAUCAUCAUUGCUUUUCACAUUUUAUUUACUAACCAAAAGCAUAAAAAUAUGUCACUAACAUCUUUUGUUUGUAGCUUGAGCAAUCACAAGGUCAAAAGCUUCUAGGAGAUCCUUUGUGCAAAGAUAUGGCCAAGAGAAGAUGAAAGCAAGCAUGGUAAUGAUUCCCAAGGAUCUCAUCCAUCAAAUAUGCCUUCCUAGCAUCUCAAUUCAUCAUUUUGAUCAAAGCAAGUCAAAGGGUUUGAGGCCUUGUUCUUCAAAGAAACCCUAAUCCAUCUGUGCACCAUAAUGCCUUGCUCAUGAAGCAACCUCAGCCCAUGGUCAAAUAUAAUCAAGGGAAGUUCUUUAAUUCUUCAUUUAAUGCAUAUUUGAACUCAUUUGAGUAUCCUUAAUCAUCAAUUCAUCAAGAUAUGGGUUGUGGACUUGAGAAGUUGAUCAGUCAAUUCAUCUGACUAUUUUGAAAUGCACUGAGACCUAACUUUUUAUGUGUUGGUCAAAUGGAGAUGAUUCCAAACGCACAAAUGUUCUUAAGGACAAUAUGAACAACUUUCAUUUUCAUCAAAAUUUGAUUUGAAGCUUGGAAAACAAUCUUCCAUUCCAAUACAUUAUAGGUCAUUUUGACUGAAACCCUAAUUUUAGGCCAACUUCCGAAAGACAUAACUCAUUCAUUGUUUAUGAUUUUGAGGUGGUAUCAAAUGCAUUGGAAAGCUUAAGAUGUCUAAUUCAAAAGUUAUGUUGAACAAAAUUUCAAAAUCUCAAAGGAAAUACAUGUGAUAAUGCAAGACAUUAUAGGUCCUUUUUGACCAAAGGCAUUAAAAGGCAAAAAAGUCCAACUUCAAGUACCCAUAACUCUUUCAUCAAAAAUCCAAAUGAUGCACAAGUUUAGUCCAGUUUUAGUGUCUUGAAAAGAUCUACAACUUUGAUGUUGGAGGUUUUUCCAUUUGAGGCUUGCAUCAUCAAAACAGAAGGGCUUGAAAGUUGGCCAAUUUUAGAAACCUUGCCUUGACAUGUCAUGCACCUUGCACUUUAAACUCAAAUUUCAUAAAUUUCCACAUUCCAAAUGGACUUUUGACCAACAUAACAUUUAUUCCUCAUACAAAGACCUUUCCAACCAUUACCCAUAUGCCUAUGCUUGGUUGUUCUAAAUGGUAUUUCCGAAGAGGUGAAUGAUUAGGUUCAAUUGUGGAAUUCAUGUUGAAACCUUGUUGCACAAGCCAAUUCAGAGCAAUCACACGUCCAAACCCUUGGCAUUUGAACUCAGCUUGCAUUUGGCAUUGCUUUUGGGCCUUGUGCAUGAUCAUGCAAGCCCAUGCAAGUCGUAUCAAAAUUUAUGCACACAGAUCAUUCCACCCUUUCCUUGCCAAUUCAGCUAUAAAUACAUGCUUCAUUCCCUCCAUUUACACACACAAUUUCAACCUGAAAUGCUGCUGAAAUCGUUCCCUAACCAUCACUAGAGAAGCAAGCUCACUUUUCUCUUUUUUUUUUCAGAUUUGAAAUUCAACUUCAUCUGGUUGAAUUCUCAGAUCUAGUGCUUCUAAACCUUCAUCAUUUAUCCCAUAGAACUUCUGUUUUGAUAAAGCAAGCAGAGAUUCGAGCUCAAGUUACCAGAAUUCAAACUUAUUCUUCAACUGGUAAUUUCUUCAAUUCUCAUCAUCCAUGGAUCUUUUUGCUUGGAUCUAAUGUUUUCUGAAGUCCUCACUUGAGAGGCAAGCUAGUGGUAGCUUCAAUUUUGCUUUUCCUUGAUCUUCAUUUUUCAUACCUGAAUCUUCCACCUUAGAUUUCUCCAUUUAUAGAGAUCUUUAGUGUGAUUCAAGGUUACAGGGGUGAUGUACAUCACCCGAGCUUCAUUUUGGUAUAAGGAUCAUGCAUUUUCAUGGAGGUUUAAAAACCUGCAAGUUUGGCCGGAAUUUGCAGGCUCACCGGAGAAGAAGGUGGCUCCGGUGGCCGCCUCUCUCCAGUUUGAAUGUUGACCGUUGGAUGUACAUCCCACGUUUUAAUCUCAGCCGUGCGUUUUGUUUACUUUCAUUAAUUCAUUAUGUCACACGUGGACUAAGGCCUACCGUGGAAACACGCUCCUAGACCAUUAGAUGUUGCCACGUCAAUUAAUGAGUUCCAUCAGACGCUCCUGGUUUUUUCUAAUUUCCAUUUUUCUGUUUUAUUUUCUUUAAUUCCAAUUAUCUUCAAAAAUUAAUAUCUCUUUCAUUUUUUAUCCAAAAAAUAUGGGACCAAUUGCAUUAUUUCCCAAAUAAAUUCUAGUUUCUAUUUCUGAUUUUUAAUAUUUUUUAUUUUGUCAUUUGAUAUUUUUUGUGAAUUUUCUCUUUUUUGGUUAUUUUUAAUUCAUUUUAAAUAGUUUCUGAUAUUCAAAAAAUGCAAAAAUAUUUUCCUAACCUAUUUGAAUGAUGAUGGAUCAAUGAAAAAUAUUCCCAUCAAUUUUUGAAUUGAUUUGAGAUUUAUUUGAGAUUUUAGUUCAAUUAGGUCAUUUUUAUUCAUUUUAAUUGAUUAAAAAUAGUUUCUGACUUUUAAAAAUGCUGAAAUUUUUUGUCAAACUUUAUUUGACCUUGUUGAGCCUUGGAUAAAUCACUUGGACCUUUCAAGGUUGAUUUGAAGUGAUUUUGAAGUUUGAUCUUUCUUUAAUAUUUUAAUUCAAGUUUAUUUUUAAUAUUAAAAAAUGCCAAAAAUAGUUUAUUCAUAUCUUGACCUCCAAUCUUCAUCUCACUUCUGUUUUUGAUUGUUUGACUUUGACAUUCAAUGUUAUUGGUCAACAUAUGAGGAUUGGUACAUUUUAUUCCAAGUAAUGCAUUUUAUUUUGUCAUUUCCAUUUUCUCUUAUCCAUCUUCUCCUUCUUCUUCUUCUACUUAUUUUCUUUUUGAUCAAUGAGUUGAAGGUUGAUAAGUUGGCAUUGAUUAUGGAGACUUAACAUUCCUUGAUUCAAAUCUAAUUCAUCUUGAUCAAUUGAUCAAGUGAAUGGCUUUGCAUUAAGGAUAUGUUGUCUUCUAAAUCAUGUAAAUGGCUUAAACCAAUACAAGAUCACUUCUCAUUUUCUUUUUGGCAUGGCAAGUUGUUGGGACUUGGUUCACUAAUCAAGACUCCUAAUUUGUGUUUGUUGCCUAUAUUAUUAUUGACCAGCCUCAGAUAGUUGUGACUUCUACAUAAGUCCAAUUACGAUUGCUUAACAUAGCGCUAAAUUUGCCUUAUGGCACACUAACUACUAACACUAACUCUUGACUAUUAACAUUUACUUUAUGCAAUUUACUUUAAUCCAAUUUACUAUUCUUGCACAUAUUAUUCAUUUGCUUUUCUCUUUGCUCACUUGAGCACAUGUUUAUGUUAAUGCCAUUUGCCUUUUGCUCACUUGAGCACAUAAUUGUAUAUAUUAUUGUGCUUGUGUUUUGUUUUGAUUGUUGUUGACCAAAUGCAAAGAAAUGGACUUAGUUUCUAGGACUUUCCCUAUGCAAAGAAUGGAGAAUUGGACUUAGAUUCUAGGACUUUCCUUAUGCAAAAUUGGAGUAAAAAGAUCUUAAUGUUGAAGAUGGAUUAGAAGGACCAAAUCUCUAAACUGUCUCUUGUCCAUUCUUGUUUUACUUCAUGGAACUUUUGAUGUGUGGGCUUUUGUGCUAGGAGUUCCCAUUUGAGCUUAAUUGGAGGACCAUUGCCAUGUUCAUCUAAGUGGAAGAUACAAGGCACAUUGAGGAUCUCUUAUGAGACUUGUUUGAUGAUUGCUUAUGCUUUAUUGUGAUUGCUUAUUCCAAAGGAUGGGAGCUACUUGGAUCAUCAAUAUGAUNNNNNNNNNNNNNNNNNNNNNNNNNNNNNNNNNNNNNNNNNNNNNNNNNNNNNNNNNNNNNNNNNNNNNNNNNNNNNNNNNNNNNNNNNNNNNNNNNNNNNNNNNNNNNNNNNNNNNNNNNNNNNNNNNNNNNNNNNNNNNNNNNNNNNNNNNNNNNNNNNNNNNNNNNNNNNNNNNNNNNNNNNNNNNNNNNNNNNNNNNNNNNNNNNNNNNNNNNNNNNNNNNNNNNNNNNNNNNNNNNNNNNNNNNNNNNNNNNNNNNNNNNNNNNNNNNNNNNNNNNNNNNNNNNNNNNNNNNNNNNNNNNNNNNNNNNNNNNNNNNNNNNNNNNNNNNNNNNNNNNNNNNNNNNNNNNNNNNNNNNNNNNNNNNNNNNNNNNNNNNNNNNNNNNNNNNNNNNNNNNNNNNNNNNNNNNNNNNNNNNNNNNNNNNNNNNNNNNNNNNNNNNNNNNNNNNNNNNNNNNNNNNNNNNNNNNNNNNNNNNNNNNNNNNNNNNNNNNNNNNNNNNNNNNNNNNNNNNNNNNUUCCUUAUGCAAAAUUGGGUAAAAUCUUAAUGUUGAAGAUUAUUAGAAGGACCAAAUUCUAAACUCUCCUCUUGUCCAUUCUUGUUUACUUCACGAACUUUUGAUGUGUGUCGCUCUUUGCUCAGGAUUUAGCCAUUUGAGCUUAUUGGACGGACCAUUUGUCAUGUGCGCUAAGUGGAAGAACAAGGCACAGUUGAGGAGCAUCUUAGGAGAGCUUGUUGAUGAUCUGUUAUGCUUUAUUAGAUUGCUUAAUCCCAAAGGAUGGAAGCUGACUGGAUCAUCAGAUGCUCAAGAGAGGAACCUCCAUUGUGGUGUAUUCGCUUAUCCUCACCUUUUUAUUUCCUUAGGAUAGCCAUUCUCUCAUUCUCCUCGCACUGCUAACCCAAGCCAAAAACCUUUUGUCAACAUUUAACUAUGUUUCAAACAUUAGAAACUAAGCCUUAUCUUGACUUUCAAACUUUCUUGUUCACAAUAUUAUUUGAAUUGAUACUUAAGUCACUUUGACCAGUUUGCAAUACUUCUAAUUGUAAUAUACCAUUCAAAUUCUUUUUGUGGUUCCAAUAGCCACUCUUAAUCAAAUUCUAUACCUUUAGCUUUUAGGUUUGAGUUAUCUUGGGUGGUAGAUGUAAUACUCACCUAUACCUUAGUGAUGACAUGAGUUCCAUGCUUAUUAUAGGGUUAACCCUUCACUAGCAUGUUGAAGCUAUCCUCACAUGGUGGAUUGUGGUUUGUGAGUUUUCUCCUUUGAUAACAAAAGACCUUAAGGCUUUUGGACCAAUCAAUUCACAACUCAUUUGAGAUUUUGACCCGAACUAUGAGGUUUUGAUCCAAUUUAUAAGAUGUUACGUAGCGCAGGGGUUUAUCCAUCCAAACCAAAAGUAAAUAACUUGUAUAUCUCCUCUCAUCUUCAAUCAUGUCUGCCACAAACAAUAUCUCACAAGACAACAACCUUCACAAGUUGUGAAAAGGGCUCCCUAGGAGUACCUAGGAUGUUUUGGGUGCCUAACACCUUCCCAUUACAUAACCAACCCCCUUACCCAGAUCUCUGUUCCUUUUACUAGUUUUUGUUAAAACUAUUAGGUUUUUGUUUGCUUUCUAACCAUUCAUUUGGAUAAAUAGAAGUGCGGUGGCGACUCGACUUUGUAUGAUUUACCUUGGAUUUAGUCAAUAUCUCUAAUGGUAACGAAUACCCCGCUACAUCUUCCACCAUGAAUGUACGAAGACGACUAUCAUUCAUACUUUCUGGUUCAAGGUAAUUAAAUAGGGGCAGCUGUCAUACCCCAAUUUUGUCUGGGCAUUUUAAAUUUUCAUAAAUUCGAUUUAAUUUUCAGUUUACAUCAUAUGUACAGUAUAACACGCAUUCCAUCAUGAAUAAUACCUAAAAUAUCAGCCAGAAUAAUUUAUUGAGAAUACAGACAAAUUGGUUAAAUUGUUUCUCAAGAAUGUGCAAAAUUAGCGGGUAAAAAGUUUCAAAGUUAAAAUUGCUGACGCCAGUAUUAUUAAUCUACAGUUCACGUAGUUUAACCUGAUGUACUCGUUGUAUUUUUCAGGGCUGUUUCGGUUGCACUUUGAUCCGCCUGAGCCUUGUAACCGGUAAAAAUUUGUUUCAAAAUUAAAGGAAAUGCUGUAUUUUUUCAAUAAGUAUAUUUUGUGGUGAUCAUUUUAAAGCGUCUAAUUUCAUUUUUUGAGUAAAUUUACAUCUGAUUUUCAGUUAUAAUUGAUCACUUUAAUUCUUUGUUCCAAUAUUCAAAUAAAAACAAUUAGAGUUUUUUUUCUUUUUAAACUUUUGAUUAGAAAUUUGUGAUGAAUAAAAUUUAUUUAAUAAUAAGUAAUAAUGACUGUUUUCAAAAAAAAACUUAUUAUUAAAAUAAAAUUACAACAUUUGAUUCCUUUGAAAAAUGCCAGCUAGCAUACACUUUCCAAAGAAUCUCUCUCCUCUAACGCUCAUAAGGGAGAGAGGCCAGCUAGCAUGGGCGUGGAAAAUAGCUGGCAAUGUAAAAGAAUCUCUCUCCAACGAACAGAGAAAAAAAAAAGAAAAUAAUAAAUCACUCUGACUCCACUCAUGUUUUACCUCCCCUCUCUCUCAUAACAACUCCCUCUCCCUUCAUUCAGCUACUCACCACCUGACACUCUACUAAAAACCUCUCUCUUUUCUCUCUCAGUAAAAGGAAAAGAAAAUAAUAAAGACAAAAAAAAUUACACAGUACCACGAACCCAUCUUCAAACCCUCAACCCUUUUCUCCUUCGUCCACACAUUCCCUUCCUCCGACGCCGCUCUCCAUCCAUCUCCCACCACACGCCUCGCUCAACAGCUUUCACAAACCACCACCCCAAACGACAACGGCACCUCCGUUUUCACGCCGAAAAACUCUUCGUCUUCAUCGCCUCUGCCUCAACGAACACCAUCACCGGCGAACUGACCUACCAACCGCCGCACCACACCUCUCAACAUUCCUCACCGUCAAAACUCACCACACGCCACGGAUCCGCAACUAAAAACCACAGAUC
rnacentral:lncRNA from 1 species